ensembl:snoRNA SNORA74 Small nucleolar RNA SNORA74
CCCAGCUGUAGGCAACAGCUGUACCUAGGUGUGUUGUACCUAGGCAAGUGUUACACUGCUGGGAGAAAAGCAGCUAAUAGCUGGCAGCAUCCUGGGCCUGGUUAAAGCCAAAUUUGUGUUACCUACACCAGUGUGCCUGCACACAGU